GCCAACAGCUAUAUCACCCUGAAACUCACAACUGGCAACCCAUUGAAGGUCAGCAGGUGUGAGCCUGGCCAGUACCUGGAUGGGAGACCUCCUGGGAAAGCUAAGGCUGCUGCUGGAA
rnacentral:rRNA from 1 species